UCGGCUUUACUCCGCAUUGGAGACGCUAAUUCGAAAUGAAAUGAGAAAGGGGUAGGUUACCUGCUAAAGAUACUCUGAAGCUUAAUUCAGGUUUUGUAUGUAUUUGAAUGCACGAGUUAAUUUAGAAUUGCAUACCUACAUAUGGUUGUGAAACUUCACCUUUAUACCUAAUGAGAGCCUUGGGAUGCAAGCUUCACUUUACACCGCUUAUGCCCAUUUUUGCCCUUUUUCAGUUAAUGAAAGUUAUGCGGGAUCAACCCUCAACCAUGUUCUCCUUGUCCUGCAAUCUACACAGAUAUGGGAGUGUGAGUGUUUGAAUAUACUCGCGAAUCCACGUUGAGCUGUUUAUACAUAAGCCUAUAUGAGAUAGUGCACAUGUGAACCCACGUUGAGGGAUGCGCAUCCGAACCUGUGUUGGGUGGUGCACAUAUGAACUUGCAUUGGGUUAAUGCACAUCCGAACCCACAUCGGGCUAAUGCGCAUAUGAACCCUCAUUGGGCUAAUGCACAUACAAACCCGGGCUAAUGCGCAUACAAACCUGUAUUUUGUGCCUAAAUCCAAUCCCAUGACGUGGUGGAUUGGUAGUGAAUUACUUUGCUUUCACAUUGCCCCUGUUUUUUUUUUUUUUUUCCUCUUGCCACAUCCCUUGUGAAUGGUAGAGGGAAAAAUAAAUUGUCAUUUGCUCAUGAAUUUCCUUCCCCUUGUUUAAGUACCGAACUGGUGGAUUGGCUUAUCUGAAAAUUUACGAAACAAAGAGUGCACAACUGAUUCGGUUUCAGCAAUGAACUCUCAUG
rnacentral:lncRNA from 1 species